rnacentral:snoRNA from 14 species
UGAUGGCGAUGAUGAUGCUUACACUUCGGUUCACCUGAUAACAUAACAUGAGGGUGUUCAGUCACUACCUCAUCUGAUGCCAUUU